UGGGCCAGCAGCCGCGGUGAUACGUAGGGUGCGAGCGUUGUCCGGAUUUAUUGGGCGUAAAGGGCUCGUAGGUGGUUGAUCGCGUCGGAAGUGUAAUCUUGGGGCUUAACCCUGAGCGUGCUUUCGAUACGGGUUGACUUGAGGAAGGUAGGGGAGAAUGGAAUUCCUGGUGGAGCGGUGGAAUGCGCAGAUAUCAGGAGGAACACCAGUGGCGAAGGCGGUUCUCUGGGCCUUUCCUGACGCUGAGGAGCGAAAGCGUGGGGAGCGAACAGGCUUAGAUACCCUGGUAGUCCACGCUGUAAACGGUGGGUACUAGGUGUGGGGUCCAUUCCACGGGUUCCGUGCCGUAGCUAACGCUUUAAGUACCCCGCCUGGGGAGUACGGCCGCAAGGCUAAAACUCAAAGGAAUUGACG
rnacentral:rRNA from 1 species